rnacentral:tRNA from 1 species
CACCAAGAAGCUAAAUCCGGCCAAAGCCCUAGCCUUUUAAGCUAGAAUUGGGGACCACGCCAACCCCCUUGGUGA